rnacentral:rRNA from 1 species
AGAGUUUGAUCCUGGCUCAGGACGAACGCUGGCGGCGUGCCUAAUACAUGCAAGUCGAGCGAGCGGAACUAACAGAUUUACUUCGGUAAUGACGUUAGGAAAGCGAGCGGCGGAUGGGUGAGUAACACGUGGGGAACCUGCCCCAUAGUCUGGGAUACCACUUGGAAACAGGUGCUAAUACCGCCGG